UUUCGGAGAGUUUGAUUCUGGCUCAGAACGAACGCUGGCGGUAUGGAUUAGGCAUGCAAGUCGAACGGGAUCUGAGAUGUUCAAGUAGCAAUAUGAGAAUAUUUCAGUGAGAGUGGCGAAAGGGUGAGGAACACGUGAGUGACCUGCCCCUAAGUUUGGAAUAACCUUUCGAAAGGAGGGCUAAUGCCAAAUGUGAAUAUUUCCCUGAUGGGGGGAUAUUUAAAGAUUUAUCUCUUAGGGAUGGGCUCGCGUCCUAUCAGCUUGUUGGUGAGGUAAUGGCUUACCAAGGCUAUGACGGGUAGCUGGUCUGAGAG
rnacentral:rRNA from 1 species